CGACAGUGAGUCCUACAGAAGUUUCAACUGUUACUUCUACUUUGACCUCAGACACCACAGUGAGACCAACUACCAGUUUGACCUCUCCUUUGACCCCCAGUACAGCAGUGAAUCCUACAUCAGGAGGUCAAAGCUCCACAGAAAGCGUUCUGGGUUCGACUGUUACUUCUACUUUGACCCCUGACAUCACAGUGAGACCAACUAGUUUGACCUCUCCUUUUGCCCCCAGCACAGCAGUGAAUCUUAUAUCAGAUUUGACUGUUAGUCCUACUUUGACAUCUGACACCCCAAAGAGUCCAACUGA